CAGUAGCCGCGGUAAUACGAAGGGGGCUAGCGUUGUUCGGAAUUACUGGGCGUAAAGCGCACGUAGGCGGAUAUUUAAGUCAGGGGUGAAAUCCCAGAGCUCAACUCUGGAACUGCCUUUGAUACUGGGUAUCUUGAGUAUGGAAGAGGUGAGUGGAAUUCCGAGUGUAGAGGUGAAAUUCGUAGAUAUUCGGAGGAACACCAGUGGCGAAGGCGGCUCACUGGUCCAUUACUGACGCUGAGGUGCGAAAGCGUGGGGAGCAAACAGGAUUAGAUACCCCGGUAGUCCCUGUCUCUUAUAC
rnacentral:rRNA from 1 species